rnacentral:rRNA from 1 species
GAUGAACGCUGGCGGCGUGCCUAACACAUGCAAGUCGAACGGUUAAGGCGGCUUCGGCCGCGGAUAAAGUGGCGAACGGGUGAGUAACGCGUGACCGACCUUCCCCCCGCACCGGGACAACCGCGGGAAACCGCGGCUGAUACCGGGUACUCCGGGGCCCCCGCAUGGGGGCCCCGGGAAAGCUCCGGCGGCGGGGGAUGGGGUCGCGUCCCAUCAGGUAGUAGGCGGGGCAACGGCCCACCUAGCCGACGACGGGUAGCCGGGUUGAGAGACCGACCGGCCACAUUGGGACUGAGAUACGGCCCAGACUCCUACGGGAGGCAGCAGUGGGGAAUUUUGCGCAAUGGGGGCAACCCUGACGCAGCAACGCCGCGUGCGGGACGACGACCUUCGGGUUGUAAACCGCUUUCAGCAGGGAAGAACCUCUGACGGUA